rnacentral:miRNA from 1 species
CAAAAGACUUAGUGCAGUUUU